ensembl:lncRNA
GUCCUCACACCAUCGGUGCUCGGGCCCUAAUUAAAGCUGCAAGCAGCGAUGAACGGGCCCUCGCACCCGGGCUCACCACCACCGGGUGGCUUUUGUAAAACAGCGAACGGCGAGAAAUAUGCGUUUAAUGUGGUAAAUAUAAGAGGAAUAUGCCAAAGUCAUUUAUAUGUGCCAAUCUUCCUGCUGCUCGCUGGUGGCGCUAUGACUAUAACUGGAUUUUGUCAUGUAGAUUUCUUCAGUCCAGCACUUUUAUCAAGCAUAUGAAAUUUAGGGCAGAUUGAACAUGGAAUGUUUGAGUUAGUAUAAAGUAUGUUGUGUCCUAUUGCCAACAGGUGGCGCUAUGAUUAUAACUGAACAUUGGCCUUUAGAUAUCUUCAGGCCAUGACUCUUAUCAAAUAUUUGAAGUUUGGUGCAGAUUGGACAUUGCAUGUUUAAGUUAGUGUAAAACAAGCCAUUUUCUGUUGUCAGCAGGUGGCGCUAUGAUUAUAGUGGAAUAAUGACCUUCAGAUGUGUUCAGGCCAAGACUCUUUUCGAACAUGUGAAGUUUGGGGAAGAUCGGACAUCUUAUGCCUGAGUUACAACAACUUCUAUUCCCAUGGCGAGACAUCGAACUUUGUCACGGCGCCAUGGCCACACCCUUUAAUGAAACCUCAAGAUGUUCACAAUUUAACAUCG